GGCUCAGGAUGAACGCUGGCGGCGUGCUUAACACAUGCAAGUCGAACGGGCUCAUAUUGAAACCUAGUGAUUUAUGAGUUAGUGGCGGACGGGUGAGUAACGCGUGGAAAACCUGCCGUAUACUGGGGGAUAACACUUAGAAAUAGGUGCUAAUACCGCAUAAGCGCACAGCUUCGCAUGAAGUGGUGUGAAAAACUCUGGUGGUAUACGAUGGUUCCGCGUCUGAUUAGCUUGUUGGCGGGGUAAUGGCUCACCAAGGCGACGAUCAGUAGCCGGCCUGAGAGGGUGAACGGCCACAUUGGGACUGAGACACGGCCCAAACUCCUACGGGAGGCAGCAGUGGGGAAUAUUGCACAAUGGGGGAAACCCUGAUGCAGCGACGCCGCGUGAGUGAAGAAGUAUUUCGGUAUGUAAAGCUCUAUCAGCAGGGAAGAAAAUGACGGUACCUGAUUAAGAAGCCCCGGCUAACUACGUGCCAGCAGCCGCGGUAAUACGUAGGGGG
rnacentral:rRNA from 1 species